rnacentral:rRNA from 1 species
UGGGGAAUAUUGGGCAAUGGGCGCAAGCCUGACCCAGCAACGCCGCGUGAGGGAAGAAGGCUUUCGGGUUGUAAACCUCUUUUACCAGGGACGAAGGAAGUGACGGUACCUGGAGAAGAAGCCACGGCUAACUACGUGCCAGCAGCCGCGGUAAUACGUAGGUGGCAAGCGUUGUCCGGAUUUACUGGGUGUAAAGGGCGUGUAGGCGGAGCAGCAAGUCAGAAGUGAAAUCUCCGGGCUUAACCCGGAAACUGCUUUUGAAACUGUUGCCCUUGAGUAUCGGAGAGGCAGGCGGAAUUCCUAGUGUAGCGGUGAAAUGCGUAGAUAUUAGGAGGAACACCAGUGGCGAAGGCGGCCUGCUGGACGACAACUGACGCUGAGGCGCGAAAGCGUGGGGAGC